rnacentral:ncRNA from 2 species
GAAUAUGAGAAAAGUAUAGGUUAUGUUUUGCAUAAAGUAUUAAAAGGGAAAUCGGUGAAAAUCCGAUGCAGCCCCCGCUACUGUAAGUGGGUACGAAAUCAAUAUAGUCCACUGGAUUUUUUCUGGGAAGGCAUUGAAAGUAGGAUGAUCCACAAGUCAGGAGACCUGCCUAUGGCUUUUUUGAGUA